rnacentral:rRNA from 1 species
UACGGAGGGUGCGAGCGUUGUCCGGAAUCACUGGGCGUAAAGGGCGCGUAGGCGGCUCAUGAAGGCUGUGGUGAAAGUCCGGGGCUCAACCUCGGAUCGGCCGUGGCGACUCGUGGGCUGGAGCACUGUAGAGGCGGGUGGAAUUCCGGGUGUAGCGGUGGAAUGCGCAGAUAUCAGGAGGAACACCCGUAGCGAAGGCGGCACUCUGGGCCGAUACUGACACUGAGGAGCGAAAGCGUGGGGAGCGAACAGG